CCGAGUUUACAACUCCCAAACCCCUGUGAACAUACCACUUGUGCCUCGGCGGAUCAGCCCGCUCCCGGUAAAACGGGACGGCCCGCCAGAGGACCCCCAAACUCUGUUUCUAUAUGUAACUUCUGAGUAAAACCAUAAAUAAAUCA
rnacentral:misc_RNA from 1 species